rnacentral:lncRNA from 1 species
CCCAUGAGCUUCCUCCCUUUCCCAAAAUUAAACCUACCUCUUCACUCUGAAUUUCUGUCUUAAAUCACUUCCUCAUCAUUAUUUUCACCAUUUUCACUUCACGGUUCUUACAGCACUGACUUAUUUUGCUGUCUGUCAUGCCCAGGUGCAAGAGCUGCUCUAUUGUACUGAUGAAAUGCCACUGGUGGUAGCCUGCCAAUGAAACAGAAUAGAGUGGGCCUUUAAAAUAAUUCCUGGGACACUUCCAGGGAUGAAAUGGAGCACUGUGAGCUGAUAAAGUGAAACGCGUUUUUAAGGACUCUCUAUUUUGAAAAGCCUUGAAAAGAAGACAUCUCUUUCUCUGACACAAAGCUGAUAAAAAUAGACCAGACAUAUUCCUUCCCAGCGCAAUCAUAAAGCAACAUUUAAAGCCCUUUGUUUGUUAUUCACAUGGGUGAAUAGAGUCCAGUACCCUUGUGCUGUGCCCAGCAAAGCCUCGGUGAAACACAAGGGGAUGUGGACAGCCAUGCAGAGAUCCUUAAGGAGAAGGCAGCCUAAUGACAGACCAUCACAGACCCUUCUGGAAACUUUGCUGGACAUGUAUGUGGGCAUGGUGUUUGUGUGAGGUUUGGAUCCAUGCUCAAGAGCAAACCUUCUGCCUUUUAAGCCAUUAAACUACAGCUUAUGUUUCUGUAUGCUAAAACCUGAAAGCUGUUUUCCUUUAGUUGUUACUCAGACAGGCUGCCUCUCCUGGUGCUGGGAGCUUGCCUUAGUGAGAAACAUCUGAGAGAAGAUCAGCUUGGUACUUAGAUCACACACAGGGCUGAAGGACAGCAGGCUGAAGGCUACCAAUGUAUAGCUAUCUCACUGGAAAAAUAAAAUAACACCAUUUAAACA